GACGAACGCUGGCGGCGUGCUUAACACAUGCAAGUCGAACGGAAAGGCCCUGCUUUUGUGGGGUGCUCGAGUGGCGAACGGGUGAGUAACACGUGAGUAACCUGCCCUUGACUUUGGGAUAACUUCAGGAAACUGGGGCUAAUACCGGAUAGGAGCUCCUGCUGCAUGGUGGGGGUUGGAAAGUUUCGGCGGUUGGGGAUGGACUCGCGGCUUAUCAGCUGGUUGGUGGGGUAGUGGCUUACCAAGGCUUUGACGGGUAGCCGGCCUGAGAGGGUGACCGGCCACAUUGGGACUGAGAUACGGCCCAGACUCCUACGGGAGGCAGCAGUGGGGAAUAUUGCACAAUGGGCGGAAGCCUGAUGCAGCAACGCCGCGUGCGUGAUGACGGCCUUCGGGUUGUAAACCGCUUUCGCCUGUGACGAAGCGUGAGUGACGGUAAUGGGUAAAGAAGCACCGGCUAACUACGUG
rnacentral:rRNA from 1 species